UACGUAGGUGGCGAGCGUUGUCCGGAUUUACUGGGCGUAAAGAGCGCGCAGGCGGCUGGUCAAGUCCGAUGUGAAAGCUCCCGGCUUAACUGGGAAAUUGCAUCGGAAACUGAUCGGCUGGAAGGUGGGAGAGGGUAGCGGAAUUCCCGGUGUAGUGGUGAAAUGCGUAGAUAUCUGGAGGAACACCGGUGGCGAAGGCGGCAUCCUGGACCAACACUGACGCUGAGGAGCGAAAGCCAGGGGAGCAAACGGG
rnacentral:rRNA from 1 species